ensembl:snoRNA U3 Small nucleolar RNA U3
AAGACCAUACUUUCAGGGAUCAUUCUAUAGUUCACUCAUUACUAGAGAAGUUGUUCUGAACAUGUAGGGGCAAGGGAAACCACGCUGAGGAGGCACAGUAUUCUCUUCUGAGCUUGAAGCCAGCUCUUCUUGCUUCGCUGCACCUGCCAUUUGCCAUUGAUGAUCAUUCUAACCUCAGGUGAUCUGCCCACCGCUGCCUCCUAAUGUGCUGGGAUUAUAGGCAUGAG